ACGAGGGCUAUGACCUGCAAGGGUCCAAGCGGAUCACCUGUAUGAAAGUGAGCGACAUGUUUGCGGCCUGGAGCGACCACAGGCCAGUCUGCCGAGAUUUAAACAACUGCUUUUAAAAAGUUAGUGGAGAAGGAGAAAGCUAAGAAGAAAUUCGGUCAGAAACGUAGGAGAAACGCCAAAAAGCGUCACUGAAGCCAAAGAAUCCCGCAUGUGUGAUGCCCACCUUCGAGGCCCCUCGGGCAUCAUCACCUCCCCCAAUUUCCCCAUUCAGUAUGACAACAAUGCACACUGUGUGUGGAUCAUCACAGCACUCAACCCCGCCAAGGUGAUCAAGCUCGCCUUUGAGGAGUUUGAU
rnacentral:sRNA from 1 species